UACGUAGGGGGCAAGCGUUGUCCGGAAUCAUUGGGCGUAAAGAGCGCGUAGGCGGCUCGAUAAGUCUGCUGUGAAAGUCCAGGGCUCAACCCUGGAAGGCCGGUGGAAACUGCCGGGCUAGAGUCCGGAAGAGGCGAGUGGAAUUCCCGGUGUAGCGGUGAAAUGCGCAGAUAUCGGGAGGAACACCAAUGGCGAAGGCAGCUCGCUGGGACGGUACUGACGCUGAGACGCGAAAGCGUGGGGAGCAAACAGG
rnacentral:rRNA from 1 species